rnacentral:lncRNA from 1 species
UAAAUGUGAUUUUCAAAAUCAUUUCUUAUAAAUCAACCUUACUCAAAAUGUGUUUUUGUCAUCCUUUUUCUGCAAGUAUGAAGUUUCAACCUUCUCAUAUCAAAAGGUAUGUUUUCGCAUUUUCUAUUCAAUUGACCUGUUACAUCUGAUUUGGUUCCGUUAACUAAUACUGAGUUGUUGUAUUUUUCAAUUGUAGUUGAUGAUUGCCAACAAAAUGUAUUGAAAGUUGUUAAGGAGGAGAAAUAAGUUUUUGAAAGUUAUCAAGAAGGAGAAGAUAUGAUGAAUAGAAAGUGAUGAUAAAUUUGUUAUCCAAGUAGAACAAGAAUAAAUAUUUGUUAAGGAGGAGAAAUAAGCUUUCCGUUCAUGGUUCUCAUAUUUGUUAUCCAAGUAGAACAAGAAUAAAGAUUGAUGAUAAAUCAUCUCUCUUUUUCUACUGCUUUUUACAUUUCAAAUUAGUUUUGGCAUUUAUUUUUGUUUUCGAUACCAGGAAACAGAAAGUGUUUGAAUUUAUGUUUUGCAUAUUAGUUUUCAAGGUUUAUUAAUAAAUUACG